AAGCACUAACCCAAUUUCCUCUAGUUUCCCAAUAAGCAUGUCUUGCAGUUGUACUCAGUGACAAGGUUCCACCACUGCCCAGCCAGAGGCCAUGAUUCUCCCUGCGAUGUCGUUGCCAGGUAAGUGAGCAAAUUUCCCUCACUCAGUCAGCAGUGUCCUCAUUGAAUCCAUAGGACAUCUGGGUUUCAAGUACUGGAAUUCAGGAACCCAACUUAGUGGUGAGUCAAGGGUAUGCUGAAGGCUGGGGGCAUUGGUGGGCUUUCAUAGAGUUGUAGCUAUGGGCAUUAGGUGGUUACAUCCAAAUUCUAUUUGAUGGCCAGUUACUUAAUUUGUUUACCCAUUAGUUUGAUUGAUACCUGACAAAAGAAGCUUGUGACAAAAUUAUUGCUCAUAUACUUAUAUUACUAGAGUAAAAACAGACAUCCGAACACUUCACCUUCAAAUGAUGGCCUACUGCUUUGCAUAUGUCAAAGCAAAAAACUAUUCUGACUACAAUCCCUGACUUCAUUUCUAUAUAAGCAGUUAAUGAUAGAUGUAAUUGGAGUCCCAUGAUGCAUACAAGAGCCCCAAGAGCUUUUAGUAUAAAAUAGGUGGACAAGGUCUGAAUGGAACCUCCAGGUCUAGUAAAAAUAGAAUCAGAGCUAUGAGCACUGUACUUCAUUUUUCUCCAACUUGUAUUUUUUUGUGUGUGUCUUUUGAUUUCCCUCAUUCCUGCAUGUGUUUCUGAAUGUAAAGAGGAAAAAUAGACAUUGCAAGUGGCAAAGGAUGUCCUAGGGACCUAGGGUUGGAGUCAAAGGUCAGCCAGGGAAUCCAUUUCUCUAUCUCUUUUCCUGUGAAUCCCUUAAGGUUAACAUUAUGCCUGCACUUCUUCAUCCUUAGGAGUGACCCAAGGAAGAGCUUAGCUGUCUACCUCUCCUGCACAAAUGUCCUAUCACAGCCGGUACUGUUACCUUUAAAAAGUGAGUUUCCUUCAGGUUCUCCAUCUUUGUGCCUGUGAAUCCCUUAAAGUUAACAUGAUUUCUCCAUUUAUGAGUCCUAGGAUUAUUCCAGUGAAGAGCUGCACAAUUUCCCUCUUCUGAACAAAUUUCAUUUUGAAAAAUUCACUGUUAUUUCAAAAAGGUGAGUUUCCAGAAUUGAAUUUGCUUAAGAGGUUGAAUAUAGAGGUUGAAGAUGGGGGCAUCAGUCAGAGCAAUUCUGAGCCUGUGCCUCCUGCUGGGCCAGUCCAAUGGUUUCACUGCAUUCCUAACUCACCUUCUUUGCAAGCGAUCAUGGGGAACCAUAAUAGUAAAUAGAAUAACUUGCUUGUACAUAGCAACCUGUAAAUUCUAUGUCAUAUUUAAGCCUCUUAACAAAAUGUGAGAUUGGUCAUUGCCUUAUCCUCAUGUUUCAGGAGAGACACCAGAGGAUAAGACAUGUUGAUUGACUUUGUUAUCUUGUCAGGUCUGAGUUGGGAGGGGAAAUCUAGGCUUCCUGACCCUGCAGGUCAGGUUUUGACCACUAAUUGAUUUUGAACUCUGCUUUUCAGGCAUCACUCUUCCUCUCCUACUACAUAUCCAUUCUGUUCUGCCAUCCUUGACUUCCCUAAAAAUUCAUGGUCCAUAUAAGUAGAACUGCAGGCGUUUUCAAAGACCUCUAUUUGGAAACACCUUAUAAAACAACUAAAAGAAGUGAAGCUCACAGGUUUUCCAAGGGCUCGUACAAAGAAUGUGAAUGAAGUGCAAAUUACUCCUCCCAGGUUGGCUGACCUCAGAUACAGGGCACUGAACACUGUGAUGAGAGAGCACCUCUACCUUGGACAGAUUUGAUUAUUCUUUAAUAUUUUCUUUGGCUUGGAGACAGGAGGAAAACAAACUGUAAGUAGUUGAGAUGAACUGGGACAAUGUGCAGGGCCACUAACAUAGUCAAUCUUGUCAUCUCUUUUCCUCUAAGCCCUGGAGUCUACACUUCAAUUAUGGACUUUCCAUUCUUUGGACUGUAUUAACCUGGAAGAUUUAAGUAGUCUCUCUCAUGUUCACUUUUGCAACAAUCCUACUUCCCUUUGAAAGAAUCAUUCCCAGGAUGAGGUAAGAAGUCUUCUUCCUGUGGACAAAUAUCAUUUUGACAAGCUCACAGGUUUCUUUUCAAAGGAAGGAGAUACCCUGGAAGAUUUGAGAACUGGCCCUGUUGUUCACACCUGUUCUUGUUCAACCAUCCUUCUUUCCUUCUAAAUGUCAGAGAGCUGAGGAGAUGUGAGGUCACCUGACUUGACCCUUUUGACAUGUCUGCCCUGGAGGCUUCACUUCAAUUAUGGACUUUCCAUUCCUUGGACUGUAUUAACCUGGAAGAUUUAAGAAGUCUCUCUCAUGUUCAUUUUUUCAACUAACCCACUUCCCUUUGAAAGGAUCAUUCCCAGGAUGAGAUAAGAAGUCUUCUUCCUGGGGCAGCUAGGUGGCACAGUGGAUAAAGCACUGGCCCUGGAUUCAGGAGGACCUGAGUUCAAAUCCGGCCUCAGACACUUGACACUUACUAGCUGUGUGACCCUGGGCAAGUCACUUAACCCCCAUUGCCCUGCCAAAAAAAAAGAAGAAGAAGUCUUCUUCCUGUGGACAAAUAUCAUUUUGACAAGCUCACAGGUUUCUUUUCAAAGGUGAGUUUCCAAAUUUGCUUUUGCUUCAGGAAUUUGAAUAUCUUAGGUCUGGAGGCCAAAGUCAGGGAAAGCCAGGGAGUUUACCACUGAUGGACCUUUGAAAUAGCUGACCUGUACUCCUGACAAAUCUUUCCUUGGAAGUGCUCAUGACCAUCAGUAAUAAGAAAAUGAGGAACUUCCUUGUG